CCUACGGGAGGCAGCAGUGAGGAAUAUUGGUCAAUGGUCGAGAGACUGAACCAGCCAAGCCGCGUGAGGGAGGAAGGUACAGAGUAUCGUAAACCUCUUUUGUCAGGGAACAAAGGCGGGACGUGUCCCCGGAUGAGUGUACCUGAAGAAAAAGCAUCGGCUAACUCCGUGCCAGCAGCCGCGGUAAUACGGAGGCUGCGAGCGUUAUCCGGAUUUAUGGGGUUUAGAGGGUGCGCAGGCGGUUUGUUAAGUUAGCGUUAAAAGCCCGGGGCUCAACCCCGGCCCGCCGUUGAAACUGGCAGUCUCGAGUGGGAGAGAGGUAUGCGGAAUGCGCGGUGUAGCGGUGAAAUGCAUAGAUAUCGCGCAGAACUACGAUUGCGAAGGCAGCAUGCUGGCUCCACACUGACGCUGAGGCACGAAAGCGUGGGUAUCGAACAGGAUUAGAUACCCUGGUAGUC
rnacentral:rRNA from 1 species